UAAUAACCUGGUUGAUCCUGCCAGUAGUGUAUGCUUUUCCUAAAGACUAAGCCAUGCAUGUCUUCGAAUAAGAGGAAGCAAUUCUCUCUGAAUCUGCGUACGGCUCCGCACACCAGUUGUAAACCAAAGCAAGCAAGCCCGGUCUCGACGCCUUUCGGGGCUAGGGGCCGGGCUACAAGGAAACCCUGGUAAUUCUGAGGCUAAUACUUGACACGAACCUGCUGACUGGGUCUCGGCUCGGGAGGUGGGGGAUGUGCGACUAUCGGGCCAACGAAACCGGAAAGAGCGCACGUUCAGACCACUUAAAAAGGCUUCGGGGUCCCUCGGGAUCCCGGGGCUGUGGCUCUUGCAGCGUGCUUCUGACCUAUCAACUAGACGGCAGCCUAAGGGACAUGCUUUGGUGACAACGGGUACAGAGGAUAAGGGUUCGAUCCUGGAGAGUGGGCCUGAGAGAU
rnacentral:rRNA from 1 species